rnacentral:rRNA from 5 species
CGCGAAUGGCUCAUUAAAUCAGCUAUGGUUCCUUAGAUCGUACAUACUACAUGGAUAACUGUAGUAAUUCUAGAGCUAAUACAUGCCACUAUGCCCUGACCCUUACGGGAACGGGUGGAUUUAUUAGAACAGAACCAAUACAGCUUCUGCUGUUUAAUUCUGUGAUGACUCUGGAUAACUUAACUGAUCGCAGUCGGCCUUGAGUCGGCGACGGAUCUUUCAAAUGGCUGCCCUAUCAAUUGUCGAUGGUAGGUGACCUGCCUACCAUGGUAAUAACGGGUAACGGGGAAUCAGGGUUCGAUUCCGGAGAGGGAGCCUGAGAAACGGCUACCACAUCCAAGGAAGGCAGCAGGCGCGCAAAUUACCCAAUCCCGGCACGGGGAGGUAGUGACGAAAAAUACGGAGACGGGACUCUUUAUGGGCCUCCGACAUCCGAGUGAGUACAUUUUAAAUCCUUUAACGAGGAUCAACUGGAGGGCAAGUCUGGUGCCAGCAGCCGCGGUA